CUGGAGUUAAUCACAAAAGCCGUCUCGACCACCCUCCGCAGAAAAGGCUUCACUCCGGCUCCAGGCUGAGGAACCACCGCACCUGGCACAGAAGGGGCUGCAUCAGAGUUGGCUCCACCCAGGCCUGCAACUUUGACCCAGGGAGUUCGGGGAUAGCCAUCGUACCUGCAGACACUCCUAAGCCACCAACUCCUGGGACACCACCAAGCCCAGCGCCUGCAGAGCCAGGACAGGUGAGGCAUUGCGUAAGGAACAGUGGGGAGGCAGAAGGGCCCGGGGCUGCAUGCUGAGGGCCCAGCAUUGAGGUCUGGCCCCGUUACUAACUCACCUUCAGACUGGGCACAGCUAGCUGCCUCCCUGAGCCCCAGUAGAUUGCAACUGACAAUCCCACCCACCCGGCUCCCAAGCCUGAGUUGAGGGAAGGUUCUUUGCAAAGCGGAGGGCCCCACGGAAGCCAGAGGGCUUGUGGCAUGUCCCAAAGAGCACCACUCACCAGCCUUAGCAGCUUUAUAGGCUGCAGCAGCGUCAGCCACUCCACCAGGCACCAGAGCCCCCGGAAAGGUAACUGCGGGGAAGGCGCCGAGCCCUGCGGAGGGGAGGAUGGGGUGAGGUCCUGAGCUACCACACCUAUGAAGACUCCUACGCUCUGGCCCUGCCUGGCUGUGCCCCACUCAGGAAGCACAUUGGAGGCU
rnacentral:lncRNA from 10 species